rnacentral:rRNA from 1 species
ACGGGAGGCAGCAGUGAGGAAUAUUGGACAAUGGUCGGAAGACUGAUCCAGCCAUGCCGCGUGAAGGAAGAAUGUCCUAUGGAUUGUAAACUUCUUUUGUACGGGAGCAAUAAGGUGUAUGCAUACACCGAUGAGAGUACCGUACGAAUAAGCAUCGGCUAACUCCGUGCCAGCAGCCGCGGUAAUACGGAGGAUGCGAGCGUUAUCCGGAUUUAUUGGGUUUAAAGGGUGCGUAGGCGGAAUGCCAAGUCAGCGGUGAAACGCACGCGCUUAACGCGUGACCUGCCGUUGAAACUGGUAGUCUGGAAUACGGAUGCUGUGGGAGGAAUGUGUGGUGUAGCGGUGAAAUGCAUAGAUAUCACACAGAACACCGAUUGCGAAGGCAUCUCACAAAUCCGUCAUUGACGCUGAGGCACGAAAGUGUGGGGAUCAAACAGGAUUAGAUACCCUGGUA